GAUGAACGCUGGCGGCGUGCCUAAUACAUGCAAGUCGAGCGAACGGACGAGAAGCUUGCUUCUCUGAUGUUAGCGGCGGACGGGUGAGUAACACGUGGAUAACCUACCUAUAAGACUGGGAUAACUUCGGGAAACCGGAGCUAAUACCGGAUAAUAUUAUGAACCGCAUGGUUCAAAAGUGAAAGACGGUCUUGCUGUCACUUAUAGAUGGAUCCGCGCUGCAUUAGCUAGUUGGUAAGGUAACGGCUUACCAAGGCAACGAUGCAUAGCCGACCUGAGAGGGUGAUCGGCCGCACUGGAACUGAGACACGGUCCAGACUCCUACGGGAGGCAGCAGUAGGGAAUCUUCCGCAAUGGGCGAAAGCCUGACGGAGCAACGCCGCGUGAGUGAUGAAGGUCUUCGGAUCGUAAAACUCUGUUAUUAGGGAAGAACAUAUGUGUAAGUAACUGUGCACAUCUUGACGGUACCUAAUCAGAAAGCCACGGCUAACUACGUG
rnacentral:rRNA from 1 species